UUUUUCCCCCCCCCCCCCCGGUUGUUGUUCCUUGCAGCACUUACUGAAAGAGCGAAUCGUCCACACGCGUGUUUGUUUUAAAAGGAAUUAAAUCUGAAUGGAGGGGGAGGAAGGACAGUCUUGGAUAAUGCUUGCACUGAGCCACCAGUGCACGCAAUAGGGAAAAGGAAGAGCAUAAUAGGACAAACAAGUGCUUAAAAUGUAUCUGUGCAUCAUUUGAGGACAUUCAAGAGAUCAGUAGUCUGUUUUCUUUGGUAUGAACUCAGACAAACAAAUGUCAUUUAUGCCCUUAUAUGACAUACAGAUUGCUCUGCAACAUUGGGUGGUCAUCUGGCAAAGAAGGACCGAGCGCUGAUGUCCAGACACCACAGGAGGCUGGAGUGAUGGGAAGCCUCAUGGCUAAAGCCACCUGCCUGCCCUUCCCCAAAGCACUUUGCCUUCUUGUUUGCGUCACCAUGUGCAUGUAUGGUGCUGAACUUGCUGGUGGAUAUUCAGGAUGAGUAAGAGCUAGUGAGAAUCAGAUAAAUGAGAAGGAGAGAGAAUAGAAGUUACUUGUUUGGACUAACGAAGGACAUAAGCCCUUUAAUUGUGAAUGUCAUCAAUUUGUGUUCCGGGCUGCUGGGUGUUUCAGCUGCUGCUGGGCUGUGAGAACAUUCUGCAGUGUUUUAAUACAUUAAACCUUGGAAAGAGCAGGUUUCCUUCCUGAUGGUCUCUUAUUGUUUAUCUACAAAUGUUGUUAUUAUUUCCCUUUCUUUUCUGCUCCUGGCACUUUGCCUGGCAGUCCUGUCAUUCAGUCCUCAACCUACCAUGUGGUCCCAUCAGGCUAAGGCUGAUGCCAAGUCAGAAGCUGACAGGAGUGCUUAGAAACUAAAUGAGAUUCAAAAGGUGGAACAGAAGUACUGGAUCAAACCCACAGUGUAAUGCUGGGGAGCACUAUGUGCUGGAGAAAUGUUGGUUUAGAUAUUGGAUGUUUUAACAGGGCUGGGGGUUUUAAGAUUUUUUUUUUUCCUUCCUCUUGUCUGAAUUUGGACAUUUGUCUUUUAAAUAAAUAAAUACCUGGCUGUAGUUUGUAGCGGGCUGGUUCUUUUUUCCUUAUUUCCCAUGCUAAACUGUUUCCAUCCAUUGGCAGAGCUGUUGCAUAGAUGUAACACAUCAUCUGGGGAUAAGGUGCAUCAUCAGUGAUGUAAAGGAAACAACGCUGGUGCCCACCAAUGUUGAGCUGAGAAAAAAGAGGAAAAAAUAUCUGUCUUUUGCCAUGUAACUCAUUAAAGAUCCCUUCAAUGGAAUAUUUGUUUAUUACUUUCAGAUGAAAGUCAAUAUUUAAAUGAAAAAUGUGGCUUUUAUUAGUUCCUAGAUGGCUCCCCCUGCAAGCUGGGUGCUCUUAUGCUUCAGCAGUAGAGCAAAUGUAUUGCAGGUCUGUUAAGGAAAAGUAUGACUAUUGUGCAUUCGUCAUCAAGAAGUAACAGCUGAGUUGUUCAUUAACACAAUAGUUUGAAUCUACAGGCUACUCCUUCCACAGAGUUGUAACUUAAAUUAGGCUCCAUUUGAUGGCUGGAACUAUUUGACAAUGCCUUGUUUGUGCUCUACAAAUAUGUAAAUCUUUCCACUUAAUUCUUCUCUUUCUUUUUUUUAAUCUGUUGAGCACACUACCUCAUUUAUCUAAUACACAACUCCUUAAUCGUCCUGCAUGUUUCAAUGUUUUAAUAUAUUUGGACAAGGGCUACAAUUUCUUUUUUCAGAGGAAACAGUGCAGAUUUGUUCUUUUGUUUACUGCCAGCUCCAGAGUAAACUGGAGCUCUGAUCUGCUGAUAGCUGAAGGCUGGUAAAGGAAGAAUUAUACAACAGGAAUGUGAGGAAAUAACUCCAUUUGUCGCAGUU